AAUAGAUACCCAGGUAGUCCACGCCCUAAACGAUGCCCACUAGGUGUUGGGGAAGCGAUUCCUUGGUACCGUAGCUAACGCGUGAAGUGAGCCGCCUGGGGAGUACGGCCGCAAGGUUAAAACUCAAAGGAAUUGACGGGGACCCGCACAAGCGGCGGAUGAUGUGGAUUAAUUCGAUGCAACGCGAACAACCUUACCUACCCUUGACAUGUCCGGAAGCCUGCUGAAAGGCGGGGGUGCUCGAAAGAGAACCGGAACACAGGUGCUGCAUGGCUGUCGUCAGCUCGUGUCGUGAGAUGUUGGGUUAAGUCCCGCAACGAGCGCAACCCUUGUCCCUAGUUGCUACGCAAGGGCACUCUAGGGAGACUGCCGGUGACAAACCGGAGGAAGGUGGGGAUGACGUCAAGUCCUCAUGGCCCUUAUGGGUAGGGCUUCACACGUCAUACAAUGGACGGUACAGAGGGUUGCCAACCCGCGAGGGGGAGCCAAUCCCAGAAAGCCGUUCGUAGUCCGGAUCGCAGUCUGCAACUCGACUGCGUGAAGUCGG
rnacentral:rRNA from 1 species